UACGAAGGGGGCUAGCGUUGCUCGGAAUCACUGGGCGUAAAGCGCACGUAGGCGGAUUGUUAAGUCAGGGUGAAGUCCUGGAGCUCACUCCAGAACUGCCUUUGAUACUGGCGAUCUCGAGUCCGGGAGAGGUGAGUGGAACUGCGAGUGUAGAGGUGAAAUUCGUAGAUAUUCGCAAGAACACCAGUGGCGAAGGCGGACU
rnacentral:rRNA from 1 species